GAUGAACGCUGGCGGCGUGCCUAAUACAUGCAAGUCGAGCGAACGGACGAGAAGCUUGCUUCUCUGAUGUUAGCGGCGGACGGGUGAGUAACACGUGGAUAACCUACCUAUAAGACUGGGAUAACUUCGGGAAACCGGAGCUAAUACCGGAUAAUAUUUUGAACCGCAUGGUUCAAAAGUGAAAGACGGUCUUGCUGUCACUUAUAGAUGGAUCCGCGCUGCAUUAGCUAGUUGGUAAGGUAACGGCUUACCAAGGCAACGAUGCAUAGCCGACCUGAGAGGGUGAUCGGCCACUCUGGAACUGAGACACGGUCCAGGCUCCUACGGGAGGCAGCAGUAGCGAAUCUUCCGCAAUGGGCGAAAGCCUGACGGAGCAACGCCGCGUGAGUGAUGAAGGUCUUCGGAUCGUAAAACUCUGUUAUUAGGGAAGAACAUAUGUGUAAGUAACUGUGCACAUCUUGACGGUACCUAAUCAGAAAGCCACGGCUAACUACGUG
rnacentral:rRNA from 1 species